rnacentral:rRNA from 1 species
UGAUGCGGGUUACUACUUGUAGUUAUUGCCUGCACAUUCUUGUAUAUUUAGUUGCAAGAUGUUGUCGGCGUGCACUUCUCCCCUAGUAGAACGUCGCGACCUGUUGGGUGUCGGUCUACGGCCCAAGUGAUAGCCUUUAAUGUAAUUUAAAAAGCAUUGAAGAUCCUUGGUGUUUUCUGACCGGCUACUUGGCAGUAUUCGUACGUAUUUAGCCGCUAAAUUUAAUAAGCGUCCAUAUCCGUCACAAGCGAGGCUAAUUUACUGAUAGUGCGGACCUAGUGCCGUCGUUGGUAUUGGCCAGCUGUUGGUUGUACGGUAUUCUAGGACUGGCUAAAAUUAAUUACCGGUCGGCGAUGCUACUGCUUUGGGUACUUUCAGGACCCGUCUUGAAACACGGACCAAGGAGUCUAACAUGUGCGCAAGUCAUUGGGAUUUUUUAAAAAUUAAACCUAAAGGCGUAAUGAAAGUAAAGGUAGACCUUGUGUCAACCGAGGGAGGAUGAGUUAUAUCAUGAUAUAGCUUCGCACUCCCGGGGCGUCUCAUUCUUAUUACAAGAAGAGGCGCACCUAG